rnacentral:rRNA from 1 species
GACGAACCGUGCAAACGUUGUUCGGAAUUACUGGGCGUAAAGCGCGUGUAGGUGGUGGGACAAGUCUGCUGUGAAAGCGCCUGGCUUAACCGGGCGAGGUCGGCGGAAACUGUUCGACUCGAGGACGGUAGAGGGGGGUGGAAUUCCCGGUGUAGUGGUGAAAUGCGUAGAGAUCGGGAGGAACACCUGUGGCGAAGGCGGCCCCCUGGGCCGGCCCUGACACUGAGACGCGAAGGCGUGGGGAGCGAACAGG